GAUGAACGCUGGCGGCGUGCCUAAUACAUGCAAGUCGAGCGAAUGGAUUAAGAGCUUGCUCUUAUGAAGUUAGCGGCGGACGGGUGAGUAACACGUGGGUAACCUGCCCAUAAGACUGGGAUAACUCCGGGAAACCGGGGCUAAUACCGGAUAACAUUUUGAACCGCAUGGUUCGAAAUUGAAAGGCGGCUUCGGCUGUCACUUAUGGAUGGACCCGCGUCGCAUUAGCUAGUUGGUGAGGUAACGGCCCACCAAGGCAACGAUGCGUGGCCGACCUGAGAGGGUGAGCGGACACACUGGGACUGAGACACGGCCCAGACUCCUACGGGAGGCAGCAGUAGGGAAUCUUCCGCAAUGGACGAAAGUCUGACGGAGCAACGCCGCGUGAGUGAUGAAGGCUUUCGGGUCGUAAAACUCUGUUGUUAGGGAAGAACAAGUGCUAGUUGAAUAAGCUGGCACCUUGACGGUACCUAACCAGAAAGCCACGGCUAACUACGUGCCAGCCGCCGCAGUAA
rnacentral:rRNA from 1 species